GACGAACGCUGGCGGCGUGCCUAAUACAUGCAAGUCGAGCGCAGGAAACUGACGGAACUCUUCGGAGGGAAGGCAGUGGAAUGAGCGGCGGACGGGUGAGUAACACGUAAGGAACCUGCCUCAAGGAUUGGGAUAACUCCGAGAAAUCGGAGCUAAUACCGGAUAGUUCAACGGACCGCAUGGUCCGCUGAUGAAAGGCGCUCCGGCGUCACCUUGAGAUGGCCUUGCGGUGCAUUAGCUAGUUGGUGGGGUAACGGCUCACCAAGGCGACGAUGCAUAGCCGACCUGAGAGGGUGAUCGACCACACUUGGACUAAGACACGGCCCAGACUCCGACGGGAGGCAGCAGUAGGGAAUCUUCCACAAUGGGCGAAAGUCUGAUGGAGCAACGCCGCGUGAGUGAUGAAGGUUUUCGGAUCGUAAAACUCUGUUGUAGGGAAGAACACGUACGAGAGGAAAUGCUCGUACCUUGACGGUACCUUACGAGAAAGCCACGGCUAACUACGUGCCAGCCGCCGCAGUAAUAC
rnacentral:rRNA from 1 species